CCCUGCCCUUUGUACACACCGCCCGUCGCUACUACCGAUUGGGUGUACCAGUGAGAACCUUGGACUGGCGUCCGGUGCCUCGCGCACCUGGGUCUGACGGAAAGAGGUUCGAACUGGUGCACUUAGAG
rnacentral:rRNA from 1 species